rnacentral:rRNA from 1 species
UACGUAGGGUGCGAGCGUUAAUCGGAAUUACUGGGCGUAAAGUGUGCGCAGGCGGCGCUGCAAGUCGAGUGUGAAAUCCCCGAGCUUAACUUGGGAACUGCAUCCGAUACUGGAUGGCUUGAAUCCGGGAGAGGGAUGCAGAAUUCCAGGUGUAGCGGUGAAAAUGCGUAGAUAUCUGGAGGAAUACCGGUGGCGAAGGCGGCAUCCUGGACCGGCAUUGACGCUGAGGAGCGAAAGCUAGGGGAGCAACGGG